UUAGCCGUGGCUUUCUGAUUAGGUACGUCAAGAUGUGCACAGUUACUUACACAUUUGUUCUUCCCUAAUAACAGAGUUUUACGAGCCGAAACCCUUCAUCACUCACGCGGCGUUGCUCCGUCAGGCUUUCGCCCAUUGCGGAAGAUUCCCUACUGCUGCCUCCCGUAGGAGUCUGGACCGUGUCUCAGUUCCAGUGUGGCCGAUCACCCUCUCAGGUCGGCUACGUAUCGUCGCCUUGGUAAGCCGUUACCUUACCAACUAGCUAAUACGGCGCGGGUCCAUCUAUAAGUGAUAGCAAAACCAUCUUUCACUUUAGAACCAUGCGGUUCUAAAUGUUAUCCGGUAUUAGCUCCGGUUUCCCGAAGUUAUCCCAGUCUUAUAGGUAGGUUACCCACGUGUUACUCACCCGUCCGCCGCUAACUUCAAAGGAGCAAGCUCCUUAUCUGUUCGCUCGACUUGCAUGUAUUAGGCACGCCGCCAGCGUUCAUCCUGAGCCAGGAUCAAACUCCUAA
rnacentral:rRNA from 1 species